GUAAGUUUGAACCACCUCUGCCCGCGGACACAAAGACCUGGCGAGACAGAGAGAGCCGCGCGGAGCCCAGGGCGAAGCGAGGAGAGACGAAAGAGCCGAAGUUUCGCAGCGAAAUCAGAGAAAGCCAAGGCCAGGCGGAGAGAGCUGGUUCAGGCAACCACUGAGCCGAAGAGCGGCGCGGGGAGGCGGGGAGAGCCGAGGUUAGGCGGAAAGAGACGAAGAUGAAGGGAAAGAGACGAAGAUGCGAAGAAAGAGCGGAGGCCGGGCGGAAGGACCCGAGGCCUGGCGGGGAGAGCCGAGCGAAGCCGAAAAGCUGCGAGAAGUGGCGGAGAGAGCCGAGCCGAGGUUCCGUUGGGAAGAACGGAGAGGCCGUUGAGCGGUAGAGAGCGCGGAGGUUAGCGGCACCGCACAGGGAUGCCGAGGCGGGGACGGCGGAAAAUGAAGGCGGCUGGGCUGGAAGGAGCCGUGGAGGGCGAGCCCGGAGCCUUCCAGGCGCCCGAGCUGCCCCGAGCGCCCCUCGAAGAGGGUCGUGGUCGCCGGUCCCCCGCUACCCUCCUCCCCGCUCCUCCGGCCCCGCCGCUGCCCACGGUGCGGGGCGGUCUGGCCGGACAACGGCGUGUCCUCCGCCCACGACGAGGACGCGCGUGUCCCCACGGCUGGAUCCUUCGGACUUGAUGGCCCCGUUGAGUUUGGCGCUGAUGUCCCCAGCGGAGACUGACCCCUGGGGGUGCAGCCUCUGACUUUCGCUGAGCCCACCUACCCAACACAUGAGGAAGGCCGCUGGGGUGCAGUGACCGCGCCGGCUGACCGGGGGGUCUGGGAAGAGGCCCCCACAUCAUCCAAGACUGAGGCUGGAAUGCAAACUGUGGGCCCCUCCUGACCCUCUGCCCACUUCCAACACCAACGCCGGGUUCUCUUAUUCAUGGUUUUAAUUGUGUGCAACAGAAGGUUUGUUACAAUCCGAGCCUCUGGGAGGACGGGGACCUGGGCUUGGGGGUCCACUGAAGCUGCCUCUGUUAACCGUUGUCCAAAUCCGUUAUCAUUAGAGCGAUGCUCCUGCCUCUGAGGUCAGGGUCUACCUGAGUGCUGGAUUCAUGGAACUGUACCCUGGCUGCAGAGGGGAGGCUGCAAAUGGAAGUAUCUGGCAUUUUCUGCUUUUAGAUUGGGAAGCUGGUGUUUUCUCCUCCCAGGAUCAUAAAGUGGGGGAAGCCCUCAGACUAGAUAGGAGUUCAGUAGGUGAGAAACCAAAAACGACGGCAGAUGUCUCCUAGGAGACCCUGUACUUAAAGUUAAGAGGAACCGCUGGAGACCCAACAUGCCAGCAACUUUGGGAAUUUCUGCUCUAAUAGUUUCUAUUAAAGUUGCUGCACCUAGAAAGCAUGUGUUGGCCUUCGCAGUCUUCAGUGGGGUGGCCUCUACCCAUCCCAAUCUCUGGUUUUAUGACCCUUCCUAAGGACUGGACGAGUGUUUAUGUUGAAAAGACCUGGUGUCUAAGCAGGUCUGAGCUGACUGGAUGGCAGAGAACAAGAAGGGUGAUGGGAGACAUUGGUCCAAGGUCACUGAAGGUGCAAGUGGGACCCACAAAAGGUGGACCAGAGGAACUCAGAUGGCCAUCAACUAAUGAAUGGGUCUGCCUGAGCCAUGAAGACUGUCUGUGUACUUUGUAUGGCUGCUGCUGACGUCAGCCCUUCAGGUCGCACCUGGCACAAGAAGGUCACUUCCUGCGUGGAUUUCUCCCAUCCCCAGCUUGAGGGCAGAGGAGGUAGUGGGUUGCCAAAUGUCUGCCAAAAGUUCCUGUCCACCCUGAACGUCGGACUGUGAUCUUAUUUGGAAACAGAGUCUUUGUAGAUGUGAUUAAAGACCUGAGGAUGAUGAGCUCAUCCUGGAUAUCGGGUAGGGCCUGAGCUGAAUGACUGGUGUCCUUAUAAGAAGAGGAGAGGACACAGAGACAUGGAGGGGAGAAGAUCGUUUGAAAGACGGGGCAGAGGUCGUAGAUCUGCUGCCACAAACCAAGGAGGCAGGAACCGCCAGGAGCUGUAGGAGGUGGCCUCAAACCCUGUCAGCUGCUCCUGCCCUGUGACCUCACUCAGCUCCGCUUCCCAGAACUCCAGGUCUGGCAGGAAGGGCCUGGGCUGCCGGAAGCGGGAUUUAUACUCGGCUUCUGGCUGAACUGAAAGGGCCUCCCAGGGUGACACUUGCAGCCUUCAGCAAGGAGGAGGAAGAACCACCAAGGAAUUCAUGUGGCCCUUGUCUUACAGUGUUUCAGGGGAUGACGUUCAAAAUGCCAGGUGAUAACCCUGUAGCUCCUGGUCAUGAGGCGGGUUCUCAGGGUGAGCUCAGAGCAGUAUCAAUUCACUACCCAGAUGGGAAGCGUUUCAGUAUUUUAAUUGGUAAGGUUGUGUGUGUAGGCCCAUGUUCAUCAGUUUGGUGGCAUUCCCCUGCUAGACCCAUCUCUAUACUGGCACCUCUCAUGCCUUAUCUUUCAAAACUCCCAACAGGAAAGUUUCACAUCCCCAUAACACGUAACCACAUAACCACAGCACAAGACUGGGGAAAAGAACACAGCCAUCCUGGGGGCUAGAAGCUCUAUAGGAUUGAGCCCAGAUGACCCUUUAGGUCAAGCUGGUAACAAUAAGACUGAGCAUGUAAACUAUUGUUUGUCCGAGAGCAUGAACCUCAGAACCACAUGGGACCCUGGGCAGCAAGGGAGAGUGUGGGUCAUGCACUGCCCAGGAUUAAGGUGCGUUAUCCUGGGCAAACCAGAGCUCACGGCUGAUCCAUCAGGCCUGGCUAGGUAGGAAUGGCCACGUUGUACCUGACAGAGAGGCUGGGGCCUUAGGGAAUUUCUGCCCAAAAAGAAUUGUAGAAGGAAGUGAGGGAUGCUGGAAAUCUAGUUCACAGGGAGCAGUGAUGCUUAUGCAACAAAGCCCUGUUGUAGCUUUAAAAGCUGCAUCACAAAUCUUUCCCUCUGGAUAGGAAACAAGCAGGAAAAGGACUUCCAAGGUCAUGGACCAGGAUCCCGGGAGGAGUCCAAUCCAGGAAGGUGACCCCUAGUGCCACAUCUGAGUGACAGUUACGGGGUGACCAGGGCACUGGUUGAUGGUGACAUUUGCUUCCUUUUGUUCUUGGAAACUUCUAACAUCCAGUCAGGAAGGUCCACGAAGAAUCUAUUGGAUCCCCCGAUACUCUCAUUGCCAUCUGGGGCAUGUGCCCUGCCAACAAGGCAGCAGGUGAGAACCCCACUGGGUAUGUCAGCAGUGACCACUAUCAGGGCACAGUGGGGAGUCCCAGAGAGCACACAGUUCUGUCCCAGGUCCACCAUUCAUCCCAUGCUGGGCAGCCCUCAUGUCCACCUGGCCCAUGGGACCAUGCAGUGCCCACCUCAGGGGCUGGCAGGGUGCCCUGUCCUUGGACGUGCAGCCAAGACAGAAGGAGCAGCAGGUGCCUGGCUUCCUGAGGACAGACGGGGCUGCUUCAGGAAGAAAAGAGUCCCCACCCCCUCCAUCCACCCACAGCCUGGAGAGAGUCAAGUGCUGGCUGAUGGACCCGCAUGGGAGCCAGAGACCUGCUCAUCCUGCUGGCUCCUCUCCCUCCUGGACAGUCCAGCCAACACCCCUGGGCCCCAUGACCAAGGCCUCCUGUCCCUAACUGCCCCCACCCAUCCACGCAGCUAACACCCUCUUCCUGUCAAUCAGAACAAUAUAGACGGUUAUUCCUCAGAGAAACUUUAAGGGAAAAACUCAGCAAAGCGCAUCCUGCCUGCUCCCUCCUCCCCUCACCCUCCCCUCCUUCCAGAUCUGCAGCCUCCACUCACCUCCAUGAGCAGCUUCCUGCUCACCCGCUGGUCCUUGGUGCACAAUUUUGUAAAAUUUUUGAGAGCUCUUCCUGAGGGGGGAAAAGGAAUGAAAACCUGUGCAGUGGUUUAAGGGUAAACCCUGUGUCUUUGAAAACCCAGAAUAUCCAAACAUCCUGGAUGAGCAUUUUCCCUGGGUCCUCUGAGCCCUGGGGUCUCCACGGGACUGGGGAGGGGGCUCUCCCGGUGUCACCUGGGCCUCCAUUCCUGUAACUCCUCAGCAGAUGUGUUUUCAACAGUCGUGGUUUCAGUCGGAUGGAGAGUUCUGUUGCUGCAAAGCAAAUACUUGAAAAUCUUCAUUUUGCCUCAACCCAGGACCUGACGUUCAGGGACACUGAUUCCUGAAGCAGAAGCCCCCGGCCUAAGUUUCCAGAGAGACUCAGAGUCCGCCAGCCAGGUGAGUCUCUGUCACCAGGGUUUGCUGUCUCCAAGGUGGUGCCAGCUUACUGAGGGGGCAAUGCCAGCAUAUGGGGGGUGUCUGGUCUUCCCAGGUGAUGCUCACAUGAAGAGAGGCCUACCCACCUGGAAACAUGUCCCCAUGUCUUUUUGAGCCGAUGGAUCAUGCAGCUCUGCAGAGCAGAGAUGAUGGCAGAGUGAAGCAAAGUUCCUCAGGCCUUGGCACUCCUGGGGCAGGGAAGAGAGUGAGCUGGUGAGGAGAGCUGGAGCCCUGCUGCCUCUGGCUUCUGUUCCCUCAUGGACAUCUCCUGUCUUGGAUGAGACGCAUGCUGAGGAACCCAGUGAGGGCACCCCUGGGACCUGAUGAGUAGCAUUCCCAGGUUGGAGAAUUUGAGCUCAACCCAAGGAAGGAGCCCAGGAAGAAGUGAGCUUCCCACGCUGGGACCAGGAGUCAAGGUCAGUGAGGCCCCGGCAGGAGGGGCCUGGGGACUGUGCAAGGGCUCAGAGCACAGACUUCAAUCCUGAGAGCUGAGGAAGGAGAAGGGGCAGUUUCCAUGACUCCAGAGAGGGGCUCCCUGGGCCGCCCAGAAGGUACCUUGGACACCUGGAUCCAGAGCUCCACCACCCUGGCCCUGUCCUGGGCUGUCAUGCUCAGGUCCCCCAGGCAGGUGGUGACAACACAGUUGACCACUGUGAUAAACUGGGUGAUGGUGGCACGGAUGGUGCAUGCCAGGUGCUCAUUGCCCCUGCUGUCCCAUGGGGACCAGACGGAGUCCAGACAGUGGGGGGGAUCACUUUCUUGAACAGCUCCUGGGGAGGAAGAGAGUGUCACCCAGCCCUGUCACAUGCCUGCUCCAUGUCCACAGUCCACAGUCCCAGGCAGAGUCAGUGGUCAGAGCUGGAGCUCAGGAAGCUGAGGAUGUGGCCUGGGGCUUGUGGGGGUCCCUGGGUUUUGUCUAUGCCCACUGAGGGCACCCAGCACAGGAUGACCCAGGACCAAUAGUGUGGGGAAGGAAAGUGGCAUUCGCUCCCAGCCCAGUCUCACUACUCCAGGCACCAGAACCCCGCUGAUACUUGACGAACGCAAGGGGCAUCGUCCACCUUUUCUGAUCACCCUGGGGCCCGACUCCUCAUUCAGAUGUGCAGUCCUCCCAAGGAGUAACAAUCACAAUCUUUGUAUGUUUGUCUCCCAGGUAGUCAUUACAUAUGAGGUCCCUAAUAAUUGCUAAGGCUGUUGAUGCCUCCUGUGCAAAUGGAUGACCCACCCAAGGACCUGACAGCCCUUCAGUGACCUCCCCUCCCCCGCCAAAGGGCCAGACUCUGCCCACCUUCCUCUCUGUUCCGCCUCAUUCGUCUGCACAGCCGCUAUGCCUGGCAGAUGCUCUUUUGUCCAUGUCUAGUGUCUACAUGCGGACAGCACAGGCUUGGGAGUUAAGAGGUUGCCCAGGGCACAUGUGUGUAAGUGGGAAGCUGGGAUUGGAUGUAGGACAUGGGAUUCUGGAUCAGGAAACAGCAGGUCUUGGGCCUCUGAUGGCACAGGGAAGGCGGCCCCACCUGCCCUGAGAGCCCGGCUGCUCACCGCAUCCAUCAGUGUAAAUUGCUCUGCAAUCAGCUGGGGACGGAACCCAGGAAGUCAGGCUUCUCCUCCCACAGCAGGCUCUUGGUGGUCACAGCCGGGGCAGGUGGGCUCUGGGACUGGAUGGCUCUGAUGUAAUCUCUCCAGAUGGAGGAAGUGUUCUCCCUGGAGACAAGGGUCCAGCGGGCUCCAGCUGGAUCUGGCACUGGGGCUGGAGCUGUUGUUGGCAUGGCUCUGGCCCUGGGGGUACUGAUGGAGGUGACACUUGCUCCAGCUCUAGCACAGGUGGUAGAACUAGAAUUGGAGUGGCCCGGCCAUGGAGCUGGCCCUUGCUCUGGCUCUGGAGCUGGUGGGAGCUCUGGAGAUGGUCCUGGAGCAGCAUAAAGAAAAAGUAUCAUCAAGUAGAUGACCUCCCCUGAGUCUUUCCAAAGACAGGAAGGACCCACUGCCUUAAGGGAACCCAGCCCGUGAACCCCCUGCAAAUCAUCUUCCCAGACUGCAGGGCCCUCACCUUCCAGCUCUGCCUCCGGGCUCUGGAGGCUCCAGCUGGACUGGGAGGAGGGAGGCGUGGCCCUCCGCUCUGAGGUAGGCGAGCUCACGUGCACACGGGCCAGCUUCAUGUGCGAAGAGACGGCACUGGGGGAAGGCAUUGGGUAACAGAGUCAGAGGCCUGGUCUUUCCCUCCACACUGCCCACUGAAGGCCCCUUAUUUGGUCUGGGCCCCUGUGCCCCCCAUUCCAUCCAGAGGAGAGCCCCGCCCAGUCCCGCCCUGUGUGGCUGUCCUGGUGGUGGCAGGAUGCUCAUCCAGCAAGUUGAACACAGAGUCGUGUGAGUCUGUUCUUCCCACUGACUCUCUUCCUGAAGGGCUUGGACAAAGCCCACCCCAGCCCUCCAUGCAUUUAUGCAACUGGACUGAGGACUGAGGCAGAGUGGACCAUGUUGCUCACACACCUCCUGUUCUGGGCCUGCUGGGGUGGUCCGAAGAAGUGGAUGUGGAGAAGGUGAGGCAGAUCAAGAUAGGACUGUGGUGGGAUGGGUCUCUAGGGGACAGCCCAGCCCAGCCUCCACUCUGGUUCCCAGGGGUCCUGGGACCCAUCUACAGGUCUUUGAAUCCUGACCUCCUGGAAUGGAAGCCAUCAGACCUCAGCCUUCCAAUGAGAAUCAAAACAUGUGUGAGAUGCAGGGUUUUGCCAGCCUGGCCCCAGCCACCGUCCCCCAUUUCCCCCAACCCUGUUCUGUAGAGACAGGGGCCUCCUUCUGGACCCAGAGGCCACUCAUUUUAUUACGGCAUCCUGUGGUCUGCCCUCUGGUUUUGAUAAUGGAAGAUGCCUCCGAUGUAAAGGGGUGACGAGAGCACAUUUGGGAUGGCGAUGGACGACAGGACUUGCGAAUGAUGUCUAAUGUGACUUUGACUCUCAGAUACAACUGAGACCAGGGUUGUAUCUGUUGGACACCUGGAUUCACUGAGUUAUGCUAAGUGUCUCCAAAAAUCCUGCACUAGUAGGUGCUUCCAUACAUGGUUGAGUAAUGAAGUCCAGCCAGAAGCAUCCCAGAUGUCGAGUGGGCCUGGGGCCCCUCUGCUCCCCAGACAUCCUUAAUUGGCCCACCAAGCACAAGGACCAGACCAUCUCUCUGGAAUCUCAAACUCCUUGACAGGGUGCUGUCCGUGUGCUUUGCCAAACUCAGAAAGACCACAUCCCAGAGACGGGUGAGACAGACUACUUUCCAUGAGGAAGAACCAAUAAUAAAUGAACAACCACAGCUCACCCCACAGCCCCAUCUGCAGAGCCAGCACCAGGUCAGCACCCGCCAUGGCUGAUCCCAUUAGUCCCUCCAAGAACCCCAUGACGUUUAUCCUCUCCCACCCCGCUUUUCAGAGGAGCAAAGUGAGGCUCAGGGAGAUGCAGUGACAUUACAAGAAUUACAGCUGGCAGUGGGCAGUCACCCAGUAAACAGCUGGUCCAGGACCUGGGGGAUGUGUUGAAGGCCGAGUAGUUGAACACAAAGGUGGUGACAUUUGAGAUGUUUCUACCUAGGAAAGCUGGUGCCGUGGACUUUGUCAGUCUCCAUCAGGCCUGCUGGAGGGACCGCCACCGGCAGGCCUCAUUUAAAUUCACAAAGGGGUCAUCUUCACUCUGGGUGGAAGGAGGAGGGACACACAAAAAAUCAGUGGCAUCACCGUGAACCACUAGGAGGAUGGAGGUUACUUUCUUUCUGCCUAUGUAGCUGGUGGGGAGGAGGGGAGGUCGUGAUUCCUUUGGGAGUGGGACUGUGGGACACUCUAGUGAGAAAACACUGGGAGCGUCUCAGGGGAGUCUCAGAUUUGGGUCUGGAUUCUGGUACUGCCUCGGUCAUCUCAGGGUCCUGGGUGUGAAGACCCCUCUGCACCAAUGCAGAGAAAAGACCCGGCCCGGGUCAUUGUUGGUGGCCUGGAGCACCCGCCCCCUGUCCAGGGAGACGGCAUAGUUGAAACCAUUCACUAACUAUGUGACCAUCUUGUGGGUGCAGCUCUGCAAACACAGUGCCCGGGAGAAAGACCAGGAGGGAUCAGGGGCCUGCCUGGACCUCACCAGGGGGAACCCGCACCACAGAUCAGGCUCAGAGGGGCACCUGCAUAGACCUCCAGCCAGGGCUGGAAUGUGAUGACACCUGGUGGGCUUGGGAUUCACAUAGGGAUAAAGGAGCUCGGUCCCCAGCACUCAACUUCCUACCCUGCCAGGCAAGAUGUGGGGUAUGAAGAUGACCCAUUGCCAGACUUCCAACAUCUCACUACCUGCUCCUACCCGGGAUGUGUCCCCCCUCAUCCCCACCUUUCCUAAGUGCACCUCCCAAACACACACACACACCUUGAGCAUCAAGGGGUGUGGGGCUGGCCAGGUGGGAGCACAGUUGUGACCUGACCUGGAGUGGCCUGCCCUGGGUUGCCCUGUGUUGCCUGAGGGUUCCUCCUCCUGCCAAAAGGCCAGAGGUGUUAGAGGUGAGAGUUGAGUCAAUGUCUACAGCGGGUAAAAAGGCUCUCGUCAGAUUUCUAGAAGCCAGAGCUUCGGAAAGUUGCGGCACAACAUGAGAACAUCUUGUUCUCUUGAGUGCCUCCAUUCAAGUGAGCUGGAUGUGAGGCUGUGUCUAGAAUGUGGGUGCCUGGUAACCAAAGUUCUAAGUUCUGUUGGGGUCUGUCACCAAAGAAGUGAGGUCACUUCUCAAGGUUCCAUUAUCUGGGCCCCUUCCUUCAAUCAGACCCACCCAAAGACUCCUCUGGGCUGUUGACUGCUCAUCGCCCUUGCCCAUGUCAUCUCCAUAAUUGUACACAAAUAUCCAUCACUGCCCUCCCCACAGCGCUCUGGGAAUGGGACCAGGGCCCUAGCUUUGAGGAGACACAGCUGAGUUCAGACCUCUUUUUUCCUACCAAUUCUGAGUCCUGGAAAAGCCAUUUGUGCCUCUCAUGGCCUCCCCAGUCUCCCAACCUGCACAGUGGAGAUGGUGCUAAAACCAAUUUCCUAGGCACAUCAUCAGGUGUGUAUGUGACAAUACCUAUGACUUCUGUGGGUUAGAGUCACAUGUGUCUGAUACAGAAACUUAGAGAUGGAAGAUGGAAGAUUGAGACACUCACUGCCCCCUGGGCCUCAUUUUCAGGUCUGCACUUUUCAGGGGUUGAAAUUAGAAGAAAUUCAUAUAUUGUGAUCCACUGGCAAAAGUUUCCCAUGGUCUCCUGUUUUACUUAGAAUCAGACCCAAGUGCCUCAUGUCGGCCUGUGUGUGGGGCAGCCUCCACAAUGGCUCCCAGUGCUCCCUGCCUCCUGGAGUACACGUCCUUAUGUGACAGCUAAGUGGUUAGUAACUGGCUUCUGAUCAACAGAAUGCCCCCAAGAUGAUGGGAUGUCACUUCCAAGUUUUAAUUACGAAGAGCCUGUCACUUCCUUCUUACAGGCGUUCUUGGGUUCCCUCGUUCUCUCUCUCCUGUUUGCAACUCUCUCUCUGUCUUAUCUCUGGAACUGAGAGAGCAAGCACUGAUGCUUUCAGUUGCCCUGUGUAGAGGCUCCAUAGGAGAGAACUGAGGGGGUGCCCAGCCAACAGACAGGCAGGAACUCAGACUCUCAGUCCAAAUGAAUCCUGACAACACCCAUGUCAGCGAUCUUGGGUGGGAGUCCUCCCCCAGUUGAGCCCUGUUGAGACCGCAGCCCCUGCUUCAUAGAGAAUUUGAAGCUGAGGCACCCAGCUAAGCUCUGCCUGAUGCCUGGCCCACAGAAAGUGCAGGAUGUUAACUGUUUGUUCCUUAUGGGUGGAAGGUUUUGGAGCAAUGUUGUCAUAGAGGAACAGAAACUAACACAGUCCACCAUGUCCCACGAUCUGGCCCUAUCACCCUCCUCUCUCUUAUCAGGCUCUCUCCAGCCACACCUGCCACCUUUCUGACCUCCUCUGGUCAAACUCACUUCUUCCUGUGAAUCUCUGCACCAGGGGUGCCUUCUCCCUGACAUGCUAACUGUUCCCAGAUAUAGGCAGGGGUGGCUUACACUUGUCAUUCUGGCUACAGCAAAUAAUCACCUCAGUGAGGCCUUUCAGAACCUCCCAGCACAGUCUCACAUCCAGAGGUGCAUGACAUUAUUUCUUUUGUCUUGAUCACAUUUAGAUAAAGUUGAGUCCAUGAGGAAGGGCUGUCUGCUUUGUCUGAAGCAGAUGCAAAUCCUGGUUACACCAGGCACCCAGGUUGAAAUACCACCAGAUCCUGAAUUCAGUUACUGCUGAGAUCCUCCCAGCAAUUUGGUAAUUCAGUGGUUCUCCUGAGGUCACCUUUCCCCUGAGACCCAACUCCCAGCCAGCCCUUGGCUUAUUAGAUGAACAAUGAGAUUUUCUCAGAGACCUCCCAGCCAGGACAAGAAAUGUUUUGAAAUGUUCUCUGUAUUAAUUUUUAGGAAGUGGGGAUGCUGGCAGAAGUAAUUUGGGUGUGUAUGUACAAUAGUUUCUCUAUAGGUACUAUUCAGACAAAAUAGUGUGGCUAUGGGAUAUAUCAAGAAAAUGGAUAAAUUGAUCCAAUUUUUUCAUGAUGUGAAGUCUUUAGAGAUUAAAUAUCAUGGUUAAGAGCAUAGAAUAUGAGCCGACAUCUUAUGUUCAAACUCCAACUCAAUCGCUUACUGGUUAUUUGUAUUGAUCAAGUUACUUACCUUGUUGGUACCUCAGUUUCUUCAUCUGUCAGUUGACAGUAAUGAUAAGCGUACCUACUUUGUAAGGCCAUGGAGAGUACUAAAGGAGUUAAUGCUUGAAAAGUGCCUGUAACACCUAGCAUUUACAGCACUGUAUCUAUAUAUUAUGAAUAAAAUUUAAAAAUUGA